UCAUCUAGUAUCUACAACCUUACUCGUCAUGAUCAUAUAUUUCGCUAAGGGGUUUCUACUUCUGCAAACAUUGCUUCUAUUUGUUUUUUCCCAGUUUGGCACUUCGCAAGACACCAUAACUAUCAGCAAACCCAUCAGAGAUAUUGGUGACGUUUUAGUCUCUAAAGGAGAAACCUUUGCACUUGUUUCUUUAGUCCCGGAGUUUCCACCAAACGCUAUGUUGGAAUUCGGUAUUAUAGAGCUGCAGAACAUCCCGUGGUGUGGGUUGCCAACAGAGACAACCCUAUCAAUGAUUCUUCUGGGGUUCUCUCAAUUGAUGCUCACGGAAACCUAGUACUCCAUGUCAAAGAUCAAAACCAACCCAUCUGGUCCACAAAUAUUGCCUCAAAAUCAAGCAACGUUAGUACUCUUGCUCAGCUCUUGGAUUCAGGAAAUCUACAAUUGGUUGUUAACAAAACAAAUGAGGUACUAUGGCAAAGCUUUGAUUACCCAACUGAUACGAUUUUUGGUCACAUGAAACUUGGGCUAGACAGAACAACCGGUCUGAAUCGAAUCCUAAGAUCUUGGAAGUCCAAAGAUGAUCCAGGAACUGGGAAUUGCUUGUUUAUGCUCAACACUAAUAGCACCUCCCCAGAGGAGUAUGUGUACAAAUGUAAUAUUUUGCGGUGGCGUUCUGGUCAUUGGAAUGGAUCUGGAUGGAGCGGGAUACCCAUACCCGCACAAACUAAUUGGCUCUAUAAUUUAAGUCUGGUGAACAACAAGAUUGAGACUACUAUAAGUUGGAUUGAUCUAGUUCCAGGAGUAUUCUCAAGAUAUGUGGUAAAUGAAUCGGGGUCUCUUGAAUUCUUUGUGAUUGGGGUGGGAGAUAAUUAUAAAAGAUGGGUUCCUAUCGGGUCAGAGCCGUCGGACCCUUGUGACUAUUACGGCAAGUGUGGUGCAUUUGGUAAAUGUCAACUUCAAAAUGAUGCUAAAUUUGAAUGCACUUGUCUACCUGGGUUCCAACCCAAGUCACCAAGUGAAUGGUCUCUGAGAAAUACAUCUGGUGGAUGUGUAAGAAAGCGUGGACAGGAUUCUAUAUGCAAGAGUGGUGAUAGGUUUGUGAAGGUAGAAAAUGUGAAGCUUCCGGAUAGUUCAUUUGCACAACUUGAUAAGAAGCUGAGUUUGAAGGAGUGUAAGCAACAAUGCUUGCAGAAUUGUAAUUGCACGGCGUAUGGAGGCAUAGAUACACAGGAGCAAGUCGGGUGUUUGAGAUGGCAUGGUGAUUUGAUAGACACGAGUGUGUUGACUGGGGGCCAAAAUUUGUACGUGCGAGUGGACGCGCCUGAGUUAGCUCAUUCCAAUGGGUUCUUUGCCAACAAGAAGAGGCAGGCAAUUACGAUCGUGGCCCUACUUUUUACUCCUUUACUAAUUUUCCUCUGUGCAUAUUGGUUGAUCAGGAGAAAAAGGAAAGCAAGGGAAAGACAGCUCAAAUUGUUCAAUGAUGUUACUGCAAGUUCAACAACCUUUCAAGAUUCUCAGAAGCUUGAUGAAGGUAGAAGAAAACUAGAUCUACCAAUUUUCGACAUAAGCAUCAUACUUGCAACAACAGACAAUUUCUCUCCUACUAAAAGACUUGGUCAAGGUGGCUUUGGCCCCGUCUACAAGGGUCAACUAGCCGAUGGACAGGAAAUAGCAAUAAAAACACUCUCAAGGAGUUCAAGGCAAGGCAUAGAAGAAUUUAAGAAUGAAGUCAUGCUAAUAACCAAGCUCCAACAUAGGAAUCUUGUGAGGCUUUUUGGUUGCUGUAUUCAUAAAGAAGAGAGGAUGUUAAUCUAUGAAUACAUGCCAAACAAAAGCCUAGACUUAUUCAUCUUUGACGAAAUCAGAAGGCAAUUGUUGGAUUGGAGUAAGCAAUUCGAAAUUAUUUCUAGUAUUGCUCGAGGAGUCUUAUAUCUUCAUCGAGAUUCAAGACUAAAAAUCAUCCAUAGAGAUCUAAAAACAAGCAAUGUCCUACUCGAUGCUGCAAUGAAUCCAAAAAUUUCAAAUUUUGGUUUGGCUAGAAUGUUUGGAGAUGAGCAAAUUGAAGCAAAUACAAAUAGAGUUGUUGGCACCUAUGGAUAUAUGGCACCAGAGUAUGCAAUGGAAGGAUUAUAUUCUACCAAAUCAGAUGUCUUUAGCUAUGGUGUCAUAACACUAGAGAUAAUUAGUGGCAAGAGAAACAAUCACUAUCAUGUUGCACGUCCAUGCCUAAAUUUAAUAGGACAUGUUUGGGACUUAUGGAUGGAAGGCAAAGCCUUGGACAUAGUUGACACAUCAUUAGGUCAAGCAUAUCCUACUCAUGAAGUUUCAAGAUGUAUUCAAAUUGGGCUUUUAUGUGUGCAAGAACAAGCAACUGAUCGACCAACCAUGGUAGAAAUUGUAUCCAUGCUAGGAAAUGAAACAACUUUUCCCACACCGAACAAGCCAACAUUUAUCAAUAAAAGAAAUAUAGAUUAUGGUCAAGACUUAUCAAAUUUUGCAGAAGCACCUAGUUCAAUCAAUGAUGUAACUAUUUCUGUGCUUGAAGCUCGCUAAAGUAUGCCCGUAUUACCUAUACUACAAUUUCAUAUUUGAAGAAAUACAGUGCAUAUGGUACUCUAUAGAACAUUCUAGUGGUGUUCUACCGAUAAACUUGUUGGCAGACAUUCAAGUUUUGUAAAGUUUGAAAGAACACUUACUAUGUUAUAAUCUCUUCAUUAUGGCUCAAGGUGAAAAACUCUAAAACGAUCUCACGUGGAGAACACCCUAGAGAUAGCGUUUUCUAAUUAUUUAGGCUCAAGAAGGUUUGUUCUUAGCCAAACUUGAUAUGGUAACUUUUCUCCUCAGAAUUUGAUGAACAAGGCUUAGUUUUAUAUUAAAAAUCAUUAGUGUAAGUCGCCA